rnacentral:rRNA from 1 species
UACGUAGGGGGGCUAGCGUUGUCCGGAAUCAUUGGGCGUAAAGAGCGUGUAGGCGGCCCGGUAAGUCCGCUGUGAAAGUCGGGGGGCUCAACCCUCGGAUGCCGGUGGAGUACUGUCGGGCUCGAGUACGGAAGAGGCGAGUGGAAUUCCUGGUGUAGCGGUGAAAUGCGCAGAUAUCAGGAGGAACACCUAUUGCGAAGGCAGCUCGCUGGGACGUUACUGACGCUGAGACGCGAAAGCGUGGGGAGCAAACAGG